rnacentral:rRNA from 1 species
UUNUGAACUGGGAGACUAGAGUGUGUCAGAGGGAGGUAGAAUUCCACGUGUAGCAGUGAAAUGCGUAGAGAUGUGGAGGAAUACCGAUGGCGAAGGCAGCCUCCUGGGAUAACACUGACGUUCAUGCCCGAAAGCGUGGGUAGCAAACAGGAUUAGAUACCCUGGUAGUCCACGCCCUAAACGAUGUCGAUUAGCUGUUGGGCAGCAUGACUGCUUAGUAGCGAAGCUAACGCGUGAAAUCGACCGCCUGGGGAGUACGGUCGCAAGAUUAAAACUCAAAGGAAUUGACGGGGACCCGCACAAGCGGUGGAUGAUGUGGAUUAAUUCGAUGCAACGCGAAGAACCUUACCUGGUCUUGACAUGUGCGGAACCCUCCAGAGACGGAGGGGUGCCUUCGGGAGCCGUAACACAGGUGCUGCAUGGCUGUCGUCAGCUCGUGUCGUGAGAUGUUGGGUUAAGUCCCGCAACGAGCGCAACCCUUGUCAUUAGUUGCCAUCAUUAAGUUGGGCACUCUAAUGAGACUGCCGGUGACAAGCCGGAGGAAGGUGGGGAUGACGUCAAGUCCUCAUGGCCCUUAUGACCAGGGCUUCACACGUCAUACAAUGGUCGGUACAGAGGGUAGCCAAGCCGCGAGGUGGAGCCAAUCUCACAAAACCGAUCGUAGUCCGGAUUGCACUCUGCAACUCGAGUGCAUGAAGUCGGAAUCGCUAGUAAUCGCAGGUCAGCAUACUGCGGUGAAUACGUUCCCGGGUCUUGUACACACC